GAUGAACGCUGGCGGCGUGCCUAAUACAUGCAAGUCGAGCGAACGGACGAGAAGCUUGCUUCUCUGAUGUUAGCGGCGGACGGGUGAGUAACACGUGGAUAACCUACCUAUAAGACUGGGAUAACUUCGGGAAACCGGAGCUAAUACCGGAUAAUAUUUUGAACCGCAUGGUUCAAAAGUGAAAGACGGUCUUGCUGUCACUUAUAGAUGGAUCCGCGCUGCAUUAGCUAGUUGGUAAGGUAACGGCUUACCAAGGCAACGAUGCAUAGCCGACCUGAGAGGGUGAUCGGCCACACUGGAACUGAGACACGGUCCAGACUCCUACGGGAGGCAGCAGUAGGGAAUCUUCCGCAAUGGGCGAAAGCCUGACGGAGCAACGCCGCGUGAGUGAUGAAGGUCUUCGGAUCGUAAAACUCUGUUAUUAGGGAAGAACAUAUGUGUAAGUAACUGUGCACAUCUUGACGGUACCUAAUCAGAAAGCCACGGCUAACUACGUGCCAGCAGCCGCGGUAAUACGUAGGUGGCAAGCGUUAUCCGGAAUUAUUGGGCGUAAAGCGCGCGUAGGCGGUUUUUUAGUCUGAUGUGAAAGCCCACGGCUCAACCGUGGAGGGUCAUUGGAAACUGGAAAACUUGAGUGCAGAAGAGGAAAGUGGAAUUCCAUGUGUAGCGGUGAAAUGCGCAGAGAUAUGGAGGAACACCAGUGGCGAAGGCGACUUUCUGGUCUGUAACUGACGCUGAUGUGCGAAAGCGUGGGGAUCAAACAGGAUUAGAUACCCUGGUAGUCCACGCCGUAAACGAUGAGUGCUAAGUGUUAGGGGGUUUCCGCCCCUUAGUGCUGCAGCUAACGCAUUAAGCACUCCGCCUGGGGAGUACGACCGCAAGGUUGAAACUCAAAGGAAUUGACGGGGACCCGCACAAGCGGUGGAGCAUGUGGUUUAAUUCGAAGCAACGCGAAGAACCUUACCAAAUCUUGACAUCCUUUGACAACUCUAGAGAUAGAGCUUUCCCCUUCGGGGGACAAAGUGACAGGCGGUGCAUGGUUGUCGUCAGCUCGUGUCGUGAGAUGUUGGGUUAAGUCCCGCAACGAGCGCAACCCUUAAGCUUAGUUGCCAUCAUUAAGUUGGGCACUCUAAGUUGACUGCCGGUGACAAACCGGAGGAAGGUGGGGAUGACGUCAAAUCAUCAUGCCCCUUAUGAUUUGGGCUACACACGUGCUACAAUGGACAAUACAAAGGGCAGCGAAACCGUGAGGUCAAGCAAAUCCCAUAAAGUUGUUCUCAGUUCGGAUUGUAGUCUGCAACUCGACUAUAUGAAGCUGGAAUCGCUAGUAAUCGUAGAUCAGCAUGCUACGGUGAAUACGUUCCCGGGUCU
rnacentral:rRNA from 1 species